rnacentral:rRNA from 1 species
AGAGUUUGAUCAUGGCUCAGAGCGAACGCUGGCGGCAGGCUUAACACAUGCAAGUCGAGCGGGCGUAGCAAUACGUCAGCGGCAGACGGGUGAGUAACGCGUGGGAACAUACCUUUUGGUUCGGAACAACCCAGGGAAACUUGGGCUAAUACCGGAUAAGCCCUUACGGGGAAAGAUUUAUCGCCGAAAGAUUGGCCCGCGUCUGAUUAGCUAGUUGGUGAGGUAAUGGCUCACCAAGGCGACGAUCAGUAGCUGGUCUGAGAGGAUGAUCAGCCACAUUGGGACUGAGACACGGCCCAAACUCCUACGGGAGGCAGCAGUGGGGAAUAUUGGACAAUGGGCGCAAGCCUGAUCCAGCCAUGCCGCGUGAGUGAUGAAGGCCCUAGGGUUGUAAAGCUCUUUUGUGCGGGAAGAUAAUGACGGUACCGCAAGAAUAAGCCCCGGCUAACUUCGUGCCAGCAGCCGCGGUAAUACGAAGGGGGCUAGCGUUGCUCGGAAUCACUGGGCGUAAAGGGUGCGUAGGCGGGUCUUUAAGUCAGGGGUGAAAUCCUGGAGCUCAACUCCAGAACUGCCUUUGAUACUGAAGAUCUUGAGUUCGGGAGAGGUGAGUGGAACUGCGAGUGUAGAGGUGAAAUUCGUAGAUAUUCGCAAGAACACCAGUGGCGAAGGCGGCUCACUGGCCCGAUACUGACGCUGAUGCACGAAAGCGUGGGGAGCAAACAGGAUUAGAUACCCUAGUAGUCC